ACUCUUCAACCCACCUGUUUCUUGUUAAACGGAUUGGUGUUUGGAUUCUGAGUGUUGCUGGUCUUCGGACGUAGCUCAUUCGUAAUGCAUUAGCAUCUCAAUUUCGAAACUCGGAUUGACUCAGCGUAAUAGACUAUUCGCUGAGGACACCUCACGGUGGCCGAAUUAGAAGACAGUAGAAGCUCCUAACUACGAUCUAGUCAUUUUAAU
rnacentral:misc_RNA from 1 species